rnacentral:rRNA from 1 species
UUACCUGGCCUUGACAUGCCACUAACGAAGCAGAGAUGCAUUAGGUGCCCGUAAGGGAAAGUGGACACAGGUGCUGCAUGGCUGUCGUCAGCUCGUGUCGUGAGAUGUUGGGUUAAGUCCCGCAACGAGCGCAACCCUUGCCAUUAAUUGCCAUCAUUGAGUUGGGCACUUUAAUGGGACUGCCGGUGACAAACCGGAGGAAGGUGGGGAUGACGUCAAGUCCUCAUGGCCCUUAUGGCCAGGGCUUCACACGUAAUACAAUGGUCGGUACAGAGAGUUGCCAACCCGCGAGGGGGAGCUAAUCUCAGAAAGCCGAUCGUAGUCCGGAUUGUUCUCUGCAACUCGAGAGCAUGAAGUCGGAAUCGCUAGUAAUCGCGGAUCAGCAUGUCGCGGUGAAUACGUUCCCGGGCCUUGUACACACCGCCCGUCACACCAUGGGAGUGGGUUUUACCAGAAGUAGGUAGUCUAACCGCAAGGGGGACGCUUACCACGGUAGUAUUCAUGACUGGGGUGAAGUUGUUACAAGGUAACC